UAUAGCUCAGCUGGGAGAGCGCUUGCAUGGCAUGCAAGAGGUCAGCGGUUCGAUCCCGCUUA
rnacentral:tRNA from 8 species